rnacentral:rRNA from 1 species
UACAGAGGUCUCAAGCGUUGUUCGGAAUUACUGGGCGUAAAGGGUGCGUAGGUGGCGUGGAAAGUCAGAUGUGAAAUCCGGAGGCUCAACCUCCGAAUAGCAUCCGAUACUGCCAUGCUAGAGAACUGGAGGGGGAUCUGGAAUUCUCGGUGUAGCAGUGAAAUGCGUAGAUAUCGAGAGGAACACUAGUGGCGAAGGCGAGAUCCUGGACAGUUUCUGACACUGAUGCACGAAGGCCAGGGGAGCGAACGGG